rnacentral:rRNA from 1 species
UUUUGGACAAUGGACGAAAGUCUGAUCCAGCCAUUCCGCGUGCAGGACGAAGGCCUUCGGGUUGUAAACUGCUUUUGUACAGAACGAAAAGGUUUCUAUUAAUACUAGGAGCUCAUGACGGUACUGUAAGAAUAAGCACCGGCUAACUACGUGCCAGCAGCCGCGGUAAUACGUAGGGUGCAAGCGUUAAUCGGAAUUACUGGGCGUAAAGCGUGCGCAGGCGGUUAUGUAAGACAGAUGUGAAAUCCCCGGGCUCAACCUGGGAACUGCAUUUGUGACUGCAUAGCUGGAGUGCGGCAGAGGGGGAUGGAAUUCCGCGUGUAGCAGUGAAAUGCGUAGAUAUGCGGAGGAACACCGAUGGCGAAGGCAAUCCCCUGGGCCUGCACUGACGCUCAUGCACGAA